rnacentral:rRNA from 1 species
UUAUUGGAGAGUUUGAUCCUGGCUCAGGACGAACGCUGGCGGCAUGCCUAAUACAUGCAAGUCGAGCGGAG